GAUGAACGCUAGCUACAGGCUUAACACAUGCAAGUCGAGGGGAAACGACAGAGGAAGCUUGCUCUUGGCGUCGACCGGCGCACGGGUGAGUAACGCGUAUCCAAACCUUCCCGCAAGUAAGGGAUAACCCGUAGAAAUGCGGCCUAAUACCUUAUGUUUCCUUAGAGGGCAUCUGAUGAGGAACAAAGAUCCGUCGCUUGCGGAUGGGGAUGCGUCUGAUUAGUUAGUCGGCGGGGUAACGGCCCACCGAGACGACGAUCAGUAGGGGUUCUGAGAGGAAAGUCCCCCACAUUGGAACUGAGACACGGUCCAAACUCCUACGGGAGGCAGCAGUGAGGAAUAUUGGUCAAUGGGCGGAAGCCUGAACCAGCCAAGUAGCGUGCAGGACGACGGCCCUAUGGGUUGUAAACUGCUUUUAUGCGGGAUAAAGUGGGCCACGCGUGGCCUUUUGCAGGUACCGCAUGAAUAAGGACCGGCUAAUUCCGUG
rnacentral:rRNA from 1 species